GACGAACGCUGGCGGCGUGCUUAAUACAUGCAAGUCAACUGAACUUAAAGUAGCAAUAUUUUGAGGGAGGUGGCGCACGGGUGAGUAACACGUAGGUAAUCUGCCUUUAGGUCUGACAUAAUUCCGCGAAAGCGGGACUAAUAUCAGAUGAUGCAGCGGCUCGACAUCGAGACAGUUGUUAAACCUUCGGGCCUAAAGAUGAGCCUGCGUCUGAUUAGGAGUUGGCGGAGUAAAAGCCCACCAAGCCUGCGAUCAGUAGCUGGUCUGAGAGGAUGAUCAGCCACACUGGAACUGAGACACGGUCCAGACUCCUACGGGAGGCAGCAGUAAGGAAUAUUGCUCAAUGGCCGAAAGGCUGAAGCAGCAACG
rnacentral:rRNA from 1 species